rnacentral:rRNA from 1 species
UACGUAGGCAGCAAGCGUUGUUCGGAGUUACUGGGCGUAAAGGGUGUGUAGGCGGUUGUUUAAGUUUGGUGUGAAAUCUCCCGGCUCAACUGGGAGGGUGCGCCGAAUACUGAAUGACUAGAGUGGGGGAGAGGAAAGUGGAAUUCCUGGUGUAGCGGUGAAAUGCGUAGAUAUCAGGAGGAACACCGGUGGUGUAGACGGCUUUCUGGACCGUAACUGACGCUGAGACACGAAAGCGUGGGUAGCAAACAGG